CUUUUAAGAAUAAGCUCGUGGCCAGUGGUCUAUUAUCCAAUUAUAUUGAAUAAAAUGAAGCCCUAAACACAACUUUGACAAUGGGUGCCUUGGCAUUUUGGAUGGAAUGGAAAUUACCCUAUUCGUAAAUAGCACCCUCAUCACCAUCAUAAUCGUCAUAAUCAUCUCCUUCACCAUUGUCAAAGUAAUUCUCACCAUAAUCGUUGUCAUCAUCAUCUCCAAAAUCUUCAUCUUCCUCUUCCAACCCUUCGUCUGGUUCUUCUUCAAUAUUUGGAUGAGCAGCCUCAGACGACUCAUCUUUCAAAUCUUGUGCUUUGAUAGUGAAAUCUAUGAAUGUCUUCAUAUCAAGUUUUCUUCGAGCUCUCUUACGACCGGUGGCAGAUGCUGCACCCAGAGUCUUGCGAAGUUCCUCUGGAAAAAACUUGGGAUCCAAAUCAAGGUCUGAAAGCGAUAAAUUGUCGUUUUUCCGUUUGGGUUUAUUUCGAUCACUGUAACGAACUAGUCCAUCCUCAUUCCUUUGUACAACACUAAUUGGAUUCCUUCGAAUAUAAAAUGCACUUUCAUCUAGAAAUGAAGUUCGUAUCUCUUUGUAAAAACGGAGUUCAAGUAACUCCUCAGGUCGAAUAGAUCGUUGAAGUGGUAUAUCGCGAUCAGGGUAUAACUUUGUUGGUGUGGAAUUGGCAUUAAACUCAAGUACUUCUUGCCAUGUCAUUCCUCCCAAAUUUGUAGAUCCACGAGCUCCACGUCGCAUUGUGAUGAUUGUAAGAAUGGGGUUCAAACGUUCGAACUAGUGUGACAGAGAGUUUAACAUUAACAAUGGAAAAAACUUUUAAAUACUUCU